CUGAUGUGAUGUUGUUUCCCUGAGACAACUUUCCACAAGUUCUACUGUUCUAUUAUUUCUCCUCUCAAGGUCUUUUCAGAGGUCCUAUUGUGGACAUUUAGUCCUCGCUGAUCGUCUGCAUGUGUUCAGAUCAGCGUUUGUUGCACCGGCACGCCUUUUGAACCAGAAGAAAAAGAUCUGCGUGAGUUGUCUGAUAAGGGCCGUUUGAAGUGAUUGAAACGGUCGAGGUAGAUUUCAAAUGUAAAUGGGUGCGCAUCUGCGAGCCCUUUGGGCGGGAUGCAAUAGAUCAGCGCUGUAUAGCGGAGAACUUUACGGCUGACAGAUGAAUUUGGGCCUCGGCGUUUGGAGAAAGUGCCAGCGGGGGGGCUCUCGCAUUUGUUCUACACGGCUUUUGAGUUCGCACAACUUCUUUUUUGGCCUGGCUUCUUAUCACAGCAAGAUGAGCCUCACACUCUUGUCUCUUCCCUGCAGAUUCAUGUGUGUGUGCUCUUCAGUGAGAAGCUGUUGAGAGAAAGCAGCAUUUGAGUUCAUUUGAUUUCUUUUCUGUUUGAAAUGAAAUAGCUACAAUUGGCCUACUAAGUUUCGGCCUUGAGAGUGAUGGAGAAAAUACAGGGGAUCAUCAUCAUCAUCAUCAUCAUCAUCAUCAUCAUCAUCAUCCUAGUGACCUUUCACUCUCUACAGGUGAUUCAGCAGGUGACUCUGUUACCGAGACUGAUGUUGAUGUUUUAUCAACGGCUCAGGAAUUAGAGCAGUUUACGUCUUGUAGGAAAAAAAUAAAUCUAGAUUAGUUUGCUAGAGUUUUUGUUCAGCAGAGUUGUUUAAAGUUAGGAAACUUGUUUGUCGCUAUCUUGCUGAAGUGGUUAUUUUUCCUGGUGGUGUAUUAUUUUCACUUCUGUAUUAAGUUUGUGUGUGUGUGUGUGUGUGUGUGUUUUAAUUGAAAUCCUGGUUCUCACUGUGUUUUCAGCCCACAAUGAAUAUAGAUUUUAUAUAAAUUUGUAGAUAGGUGUUGUCUUUUUU
ensembl:lncRNA